AUUGAACGCUGGCGGCAGGCCUAACACAUGCAAGUCGAACGAGUGGCGGACGGGUGAGUAAUGUCUGGGAAACUGCCUGAUGGAGGGGGCUCACUACUGGAAACGGUAGCUAAUACCGCAUCCCAUCAGAUGUGCCCUGGUGGGAUUAGCUAGUUGGGGGGGUAACGGCGCACCAAGGCGACGAUCCCUAGCUGGUCUGAGAGGAUGACCGGCCACACUGGAACUGAGACACGGUCCAGACUCCUACGGGAGGCAGCAGUGGGGAAUAUUGCACAAUGGGCGCAAGCCGGAUGGAGCAAUGCCGCGUGUAUGAAGAAGGCCUUCGGGUUGUAAAGUACUGUCAGCGGGGAGGCGUUACCCGCAGAAGAAGCACCGGCUAACUCCGUGCCAGCAGCCGCGGUAAUAC
rnacentral:rRNA from 1 species